rnacentral:rRNA from 1 species
GAUGAACGCUGGCGGCGUGCCUAAUACAUGCAAGUCGAGCGAACGGACGAGAAGCUUGCUUCUCUGAUGUUAGCGGCGGACGGGUGAGUAACACGUGGAUAACCUACCUAUAAGACUGGGAUAACUUCGGGAAACCGGAGCUAAUACCGGAUAAUAUUUUGAACCGCAUGGUUCAAAAGUGAAAGACGGUCUUGCUGUCACUUAUAGAUGGAUCCGCGCUGCAUUAGCUAGUUGGUAAGGUAACGGCUUACCAAGGCAACGAUGCAUAGCCGACCUGAGAGGGUGAUCGGCAACACUAGAACUGAGACACGGUCCAGACUCCUACGGGAGGCAGCAGUAGGGAAUCUUCCGCAAUGGGCGAAAGCCUGACGGAGCAACGCCGCGUGAGUGAUGAAGGUCUUCGGAUCGUAAAACUCUGUUAUUAGGGAAGAACAUAUGUGUAAGUAACUGUGCACAUCUUGACGGUACCUAAUCAGAAAGCCACGGCUAACUACGUG